rnacentral:rRNA from 1 species
AGUCGAACGGCAGCGCGGGGGCGCUUGCGUCCCUGGCGGCGAGUGGCGGACGGGUGAGUAACGCAUGGGAACGCGCCCAAUUGUGGGGGAUAACCCUGGGAAACCAGGGCUAAUACCGCAUAAUCUCUACGGAGCAAAGCGGGGGACCUUUUCGGAGGCCUCGCGCGAUCGGAGCGGCCCAUGUCCGACUAGCUAGUUGACGAGGUAACGGCUCGCCAAGGCUACGAUCGGUAGCUGGUCUGAGAGGAUGACCAGCCACACCGGGACUGAGACACGGCCCGGACUCCUACGGGAGGCAGCAGUGGGGAAUCUUGGACAAUGGGGGCAACCCUGAUCCAGCGAUGCCGCGUGAGUGAAGAAGGCCUUCGGGUUGUAAAGCUCUUUCGCGAGGGAAGAAACGGCGGCGGCGAACAGCCAGCCGCAACUGACGGUACCUCGACAAGAAGCGCCGGCUAACUACGUGCCAGCAGCCGCGGUAAGACGUAGGGCGCGAGCGUUAAUCGGAAUUACUGGGCGUAAAGAGUGCGUAGGCGGCUGGCCAAGUCAGACGGGAAAGCCCCGGGCUCAACCCGGGAAGGUCGUUUGAAACUGGUCAGCUGGAGUUCGGCAGAGGAAGGUAGAAUUCCGCAUGUAGCGGUGAUAUGCGUAGAUAUGCGGAGGAAUACUUAGGGCGAAGGCAUCCUUCUGGGCCAGAACUGACGCUGAGGCACGAAAGCGUGGGUAGCGAACAGGAUUAGAUACCCUGGUAGUCCACGCCCUAAACGAUGUCCGCCAGCCGUCGGGGGUUACCCUCGGCGGCGAAGUUAACGCGCUAAGCGGACCGCCUGGGGAGUACGGUCGCAAGAUUAAAACUCAAAGGAAUUGACGGGGACCCGCACAAGCGG